rnacentral:lncRNA from 1 species
CUCGACCCUUGGCCCCGCCCACUCCUCCAACGCAGCCAAUGAGACGGCGCGUCCCGGCUAGUCCUGUCGUACCGCCCCUGGCAACGAUUGGUUAACGAGGUCUCGUUUCCAGAAAUGGGCACUACUUCCGGACGGUGUUUAUAGAGGAGAGAUUGCUGGGCGGACGGAUUGACAGAAGGCGGAGGCGGCCUGGGUGUCGGUGUAGCCGCACAUGCGCCCUCGGCUUCUGGCAGUCUUUUUACGGGUUGCGUUCUUCUGGAGGUUACGGGAAGGAAGGCCGAGUGUGCGCAUGCGUGGGCACUCCCCGGCCUCGAACUUCGGUUAUCUUGGGGACUACGAGGCGCUCUCUCUUGGGUCUGGUUCUGCUUCCUCUUUGCUUGAGGCUGUGGCAGCUAAAACCGGUGGGGGGCGGUUGGAAACACUUUUAUUGAGCACGUACUGUGUCCCUAGCGCUGUAGAGCCCCCAAGGACGAGUAAGACAGGUUCUGGUGCCUGCCCUCGAGAAGCUUGGGGAGCCAAGGGCCUACGCAGCACCUACCGUGCACCAGGCCAACUCUAGGCACUGGAGGUAGAGCAGUGACCGCAACGGACCCGGGCCUUGCAUCAUGGAGCUGCGGUUCUAUAGCAGAGAAGAGCUGUAGGAUAAAUCCCAAGACAUGGGUCACGCUUUCUUUCAAUCCUUCUAAUGAAGAAGAAAGUUUUACGUUGGUGAGAAAGUCUUCCUUUGGUGCCGAUUUCAGUAAAGAAGAUUUAGGCCCAGGAUGAAGAAGCCUCAGCCCAUGGAUAUUGUUUAAGAACAAAAACUGACUGCUAUGAAGUAUACAGAGGACUCUUUUGAAAGACUUUGAAGGAGAGACUGAAUUUCCAGCUGGCAG